AGAGUUUGAUCCUGGCUCAGAAUCAACGCUGGCGGCGUGCCUCAGACAUGCAAGUCGAACGAUUAAAGCUCUCUUCGGAGAGUGCAUAAAGUGGCGCACGGGUGAGUAACACGUAAGUAAUCUACCCUCGAGUGGGGAAUAACGUCCGGAAACGGACGCUAAUACCGCAUAAUGCAGCGGCACCGCAAGGUGACAGUUGUUAAAGAUUUAUCGCUUGAGGAGGAGCUUGCGGCAGAUUAGCUAGUUGGUAAGGUAAUGGCUUACCAAGGCUACGAUCUGUAACCGGUCUAAGAGGACGGUCGGUCACACUGACACUGAAUAACGGGUCAGACUCCUACGGGAGGCAGCAGUCGGGAAUUUUGGGCAAUGGGCGAAAGCCUGACCCAGCAACGCCGCGUGAAGGAUGAAGUAUUUCGGUAUGUAAACUUCGAAAGAAUGGGAAGAAUAAAUGACGGUACCAUUUAUAAGGUCCGGCUAACUACGUGCCAGCAGCCGCGGUAAUACGUAGGGACCAAGCGUUGUUCGGAUUUACUGGGCGUAAAGGGCGCGUAGGCGGCGUGACAAGUCACUUGUGAAAUCUCCGGGCUUAACUCGGAACGGCCAAGUGAAACUGUCAUGCUAGAGUGCGGAAGGGGCAAUCGGAAUUCUUGGUGUAGCGGUGAAAUGCGUAGAUAUCAAGAGGAACACCUGAGGUGAAGACGGGUUGCUGGGCCGACACUGACGCUGAUGCGAGAAAGCCAUGGGAGCAAACGGGAUUAGAUACCCCGGUAGUCC
rnacentral:rRNA from 1 species